CAACCCUCAAGCACUGCUUGGUGUUGGGUCCCUACAGUGAACUACAUGUAGGCCCUGAAAUCUAGUGGCGGGCUGGCUAAGGCUCUGAGCGCAGUAGUUUAUUCGUCGCUUAGGAGGCGUAGCAAGUUCCGGCCGUUAAAAACCCCCCACUAAAA
rnacentral:misc_RNA from 1 species